rnacentral:lncRNA from 1 species
AUUUAAGGAUGCCGGUGAUCCGGUGAUUUGCCUGAAGCAUCCCGUCGACGUGAUUAGAUGAAAAUGGAGAGGGGACUGCUGCUGUCACCGCCACACACAACACUAGUCAGGGACUGAGAGGCACUGUGGUGCAGAGAGACGUCCCAGGCCGAAGAGCAUCGGACCUAUGAUGGAUUUCUCGUGUGAUGAGCCGGCUAAAGGCCCACCGGUCCAGAUGCACAGCCUCAGAGAGUUUGAAC